UACGUAGGGGGCAAGCGUUUGUCCGGAAUCAUUGGGCGUAAAGAGCGUGUAGGCGGCUCGGUAAGUCCGCUGUGAAAGUCCAGGGCUCAACCCUGGAAUGCCGGUGGAAACUGUCGAGCUAGAGUCCGGAAGAGGCGAGUGGAAUUCCUGGUGUAGCGGUGAAAUGCGCAGAUAUCAGGAGGAACACCAAUGGCGAAGGCAGCUCGCUGGGACGGUACUGACGCUGAGGCGCGAAAGCUAGGGGAGCAAACAGG
rnacentral:rRNA from 1 species